AUCACUCAGACAUCAUUACAGAUAGAUAGCCAGGGACACGCUCCAUCACUCAGACAUCAUUACAGAUAGCCAGGGACACGCUCCAACACAUAGCCUAGGGCAUGGAGUAGGGAUGACCAUAUUCUCAUAUGCCCUCCCAGGCCCACCCUGCAUAGAACUCCCCCCUCUCCAUUUUAACUGUGUUCCAGGUGGUUCUCUGCGGGGGUUUAACACUGUGUUCCAGGUGGUUCUCUGCGGGGGUUUAACACUGUGUUCCAGGUGGUUCUCUGCGGGGGUUUAACACUGUGUUCCAGGUGGUUCUCUGCGGGGGUUUAACACUGUGUUCCAGAUGGUUCUCUGCGGGGGUUUAACACUGUGUUUCAGGUGGUUCUCUGCGAGGGGUUUAACA